CCUAAUACAUGCAAGUCGAGCGAACGGACGAGAGUGCUUGCACUCUCUGAUGUUAGCGGCGGACGGGUGAGUAACACGUGGGUAACCUACCUAUAAGACUGGGAUAACUUCGGGAAACCGGAGCUAAUACCGGAUAAUAUUUAGCUUCGCAUGAAGCAAUAGUGAAAGACGGUUCUGCUGUCACUUAUAGAUGGACCCGCGGUGUAUUAGCUAGUUGGUGAGGUAACGGCUCACCAAGGCAACGAUACAUAGCCGACCUGAGAGGGUGAUCGGCCACACUGGGACUGAGACACGGCCCAGACUCCUACGGGAGGCAGCAGUAGGGAAUCUUCCGCAAUGGACGAAAGUCUGACGGAGCAACGCCGCGUGAGUGAAGAAGGUUUUCGGAUCGUAAAACUCUGUUGUAAGGGAAGAACAAGUACGUUAGUAACUGAACGUACCUUGACGGUACCUUACCAGAAAGCCACGGCUAACUACGUGCCAGCAGCCGCGGUAAUACGUAGGUGGCAAGCGUUAUCCGGAAUUAUUGGGCGUAAAGCGCGCGUAGGCGGUCUCUUAAGUCUGAUGUGAAAGCCCCCGGCUCAACCGGGGAGGGUCAUCGGAAACUGGGAGACUUGAGUGCAGAAGAGGAGAGUGGAAUUCCAUGUGUAGCGGUGAAAUGCGCAGAGAUAUGGAGGAACACCAGUGGCGAAGGCGGCUCUCUGGUCUGUAACUGACGCUGAGGUGCGAAAGCGUGGGGAUCAAACAGGAUUAGAUACCCUGGUAGUCCACGCCGUAAACGAUGAGUGCUAAGUGUUGGGGGGGUUUCCGCCCCUCAGUGCUGCAGCUAACGCAUUAAGCACUCCGCCUGGGGAGUACGGUCGCAAGACUGAAACUCAAAGGAAUUGACGG
rnacentral:rRNA from 1 species